GUGAGCGAGGCGGAGUAUUUGGAGGCCCAGAGACAGAGAUUGGCUGAGGUGCAGCGGAACAGGCAGAUAUUGGAGGAAGAUAUUUAUAGAAGAAAUAUCUGUGUGGAGUUCAAAGGACACAUACAAUACAACAACAACAACUGCAGAAAUGGGAGGAAAAGAGACAAAGAGAACAGAAAGCCUUGGAUCACUUGAGCCAGGAUGUGUACAAUAGCUAUA